GUGGGUGUAGCUCAGCUGGCAGAGCGCGAGGUCGCCAUCCUCGAGGCCGCGGGAUCGAGACCCGUCACCCACUCCA
rnacentral:tRNA from 1 species